CCCUGUAUCGAAAGUGACUAUGGUAUGGUGGUUGCCAGGUCAUUGAUACUACAGGAAGAGAGAACUGAAAGUCUUUCCCGUGUUUGUUGGGUGUGCCAUCCCUGUCAGACCCUGUAUCUUUCAGACA